rnacentral:tRNA from 1 species
GUGCCAGUAGCUCAACUGGAUAGAGCACCCGCCUUCUAAGCGGGCGGUUGUGAGUUCGAGUCUCGCCUGGCGCG